rnacentral:rRNA from 1 species
CCUUCGGGGGGGGCGUGCCAGUAGGGAAUCUUCCGCAAUGGGCGAAAGCCUGACGGAGCAAUGCCGCGUGAGUGAUGAAGGUUUUCGGAUCGUAAAGCUCUGUUGCCAGGGAAGAACGCUUGGGAGAGUAACUGCUCUCAAGGUGACGGUACCUGAGAAGAAAGCCCCGGCUAACUACGUGCCAGCAGCCGCGGUAAUACGUAGGGGGCAAGCGUUGUCCGGAAUUAUUGGGCGUAAAGCGCGCGCAGGCGGUCAUUUAAGUCUGGUGUUUAAUCCCGGGGCUCAACCCCGGAUCGCACUGGAAACUGGGUGACUUGAGUGCAGAAGAGGAGAGUGGAAUUCCACGUGUAGCGGUGAAAUGCGUAGAUAUGUGGAGGAACACCAGUGGCGAAGGCGACUCUCUGGGCUGUAACUGACGCUGAGGCGCGAAAGCGUGGGGAGCAAACAGGAUUAGWACCCCCCG